CCAAAGUGGGCAAUCCUGCAACAGCGACAACUUCAUACUGAAUAAUCUCACAGAAGAAACCGUGUUCGAUGUGAAUAUCAAAUCCAAGAAGUACGUCUUCUGUGUGAGAGCUCAGGACAAACAUGCCCGAGGGCCAUGGAGCCACUGGAGUCAGUGCAUAGUAACCAAAAACAACGUGGACUGCCACCUUCGCUAGCUGCCACAGAAAACAACUGAAGACAAAAAGCCAGAUGAAUGUAAAAAAAGAAUUCUAACGUUAAGUCCAGUGGCGUGCACAAAACAAUUGUUCAUACACCUGUGCUAAAGUGCUCUUGACAGUGGUGAGGAUGCACUAUAUGUGCCCUUUUCCUUUCUGCCUGUGCCCUUCAAAAAGUCUGUGCACGCCACUGGUUAAUUCUUAAGUGAAAAUUAAUGUAUACAUGUACAGUAUUUAUUCAUCCUUUAUUUAAGUUAUGUUUCUCGGUUUAUAGUGGGUGAAAAUUUGAAUACUGUUUACUCAUUUUU